GAUGAACGCUGGCGGCGUGCCUAAUACAUGCAAGUCGAGCGAACAGACGAGGAGCUUGCUCCUCUGACGUUAGCGGCGGACGGGUGAGUAACACGUGGAUAACCUACCUAUAAGACUGGGAUAACUUCGGGAAACCGGAGCUAAUACCGGAUAAUAUAUUGAACCGCAUGGUUCAAUAGUUAAAGACGGUUUUGCUGUCACUUAUAGAUGGAUCCGCGCCGCAUUAGCUAGUUGGUAAGGUAACGGCUUACCAAGGCAACGAUGCGUAGCCGACCUGAGAGGGUGAUCGGCCACACUGGAACUGAGACACGGUCCAGACUCCUACGGGAGGCAGCAGUAGGGAAUCUUCCGCAAUGGGCGAAAGCCUGACGGAGCAACGCCGCGUGAGUGAUGAAGGUCUUCGGAUCGUAAAACUCUGUUAUUAGGGAAGAACAGAUGUGUAAGUAACUAUGCACGUCUUGACGGUACCUAAUCAGAAAGCCACGGCUAACUACGUG
rnacentral:rRNA from 1 species